AGAGCUGGGGCCUAGGACCCACGGGACCGAGAGGGCGGAAAGGGGGCGUGGCUCGUGAAGGGGGUUGUGACACCACGACCUCCUCUGCAGCCAUUCCCCGCCAUCCUGGCCCUUUAAGGGUCUUGCGCCACCACCCCUCCCUUGUGACCCCCUUGCACGUGUCUCUCGGGCUCCGAGGUCCCGGACCCUUUAAUCAGCGCCCCGCCUGCCCAUGACGCGCGCUGCGUAGGUAGGGAUUCCGCCAGCGCUUCCCUGAAACCCGGCGCCUGGGAGACCGCAGAGACCGCCCCAGCUGCCCCUAGGAGCAAACAAGUGGACCGCAGGCCCAGGCCUGGCCUGGUGCCCCCAGCCCCCUCCCAGCCGGCCCCUAGUCACCUGGGGGAAGUUGACCAUCUUGAUGGGGAUCAUGGACUCCAGCAGCCUGGGAGGGGAGAGGAGAGAUGAGAGCAAAGGCAGCACUUGGCAAGGAGGCUCUGGAGGACAAGACAGGUGGACCUCAGCAGAGGGACCUGGAACUCAGGGCUGGGAUGUGAAGUCCUGGAAAAGGUUGAGAAAGAAGUCUCUUUCUGAGUGACUAGUCUGGGUUUGGCUUCCUUCUGUCUUCACCACUAAAUCAAGCAUCAUGAAAACAGUGCCUCACUCUGGGUAUCUGAUUGGAACUGGUUAAAGGAUAAAUAAAGAACCAACCUAAGGUUAAGCUCUCCCUCCCCCCGGUAGUACU